rnacentral:rRNA from 1 species
AUGAACGCUGGCGGCAGGCCUAACACAUGCAAGUCGAGCGGAAACGAGUUAACUGAACCUUCGGGGAACGUUAACGGCGUCGAGCGGCGGACGGGUGAGUAAUGCCUGGGAAAUUGCCCUGAUGUGGGGGAUAACCAUUGGAAACGAUGGCUAAUACCGCAUAAUAGCUUCGGCUCAAAGAGGGGGACCUUCGGGCCUCUCGCGUCAGGAUAUGCCCAGGUGGGAUUAGCUAGUUGGUGAGGUAAGGGCUCACCAAGGCGACGAUCCCUAGCUGGUCUGAGAGGAUGAUCAGCCACACUGGAACUGAGACACGGUCCAGACUCCUACGGGAGGCAGCAGUGGGGAAUAUUGCACAAUGGGCGCAAGCCUGAUGCAGCCAUGCCGCGUGUAUGAAGAAGGCCUUCGGGUUGUAAAGUACUUUCAGCAGUGAGGAAGGUGGUAGUGUUAAUAGCACUAUCAUUUGACGUUAGCUGCAGAAGAAGCACCGGCUAACUCCGUGCCAGCAGCCGCGGUAAUACGGAGGGUGCGAGCGUUAAUCGGAAUUACUGGGCGUAAAGCGCAUGCAGGUGGUUUGUUAAGUCAGAUGUGAAAGCCCGGGGCUCAACCUCGGAAUUGCAUUUGAAACUGGCAGACUAAAGUACUGUA